AGAGAAGGGUGUCCCAGAUGUAGGCAAAGCGUCCUCCAUGUGUUCCUGGAGGACCGUCCCAAGUCCUUCUCCAUUCUCCCAACCUCUUGGGCCUGGGAUGUCCUCCACCUUUUCAAUCUGAUUUGCUCUUUGCCAUGCAGACCUGUGGAUGAAGAGCCAGAGUCCUCCAAGGUGAAGCUGGACUGAAUAUUUCUGUCCAUAAGACUAUUAGAAUCCCCCAAAGUGGGAUACCAGUGAGGACCUCACCAGCAGCUGCUGUCUCUCCAAUGCAGCUCCACAGGGCCUGUGAGCAGGGCUGGCUAUGAGAUCCUGCCCUGAAGAGCAGUACUGGGCUGCUCUGCUAGGCACCUGCAUGUCCUGCAAAGCCAUCUGCAACCAUCAGAGCCAGCGCACCUGUGCAGCCUCCUGCGGUGAGUUCUGGGACCUGAGCCCAGGGGACAGUGUGAUCACCCCCAACGCCUGUCCCCAGAGCACCCUCUGGCCCCACAGUCAGGUGGCUGAGGAGAGGAUGGCAGGAGGAGAUGUACAGUGUGGCACCUCUUAUCCCUCCACCUUCCUGCUCUGGCCACACUGCCUCCUUUCAGUGUCGAACAUGCCAUGUUCUUCCCUGCCUCGGGUUCUUUGCACAUGUUGUUCCCGCUGCCUGGAAUGCAUGCUCUCUAUCAUCUUCCCUCAGCUCCCUCCUACCCAACUUUCAGGUCUCGGCCCAAACAUCGGGGGUCUCCUCUGACCACACAGUAGUACUGGGCCCUCCUUUGUACUGCUAGUGUUACUUUCUUUUGAAACUUUUAAUUACAGAACUUACCACACAUAUACAUAGAGAGGACUGCACAAUGAUGCCCUCCUCAUCCAUUACCAGCUUCACAAAUCAUUUAAAUUCUGCCUUGUACUUUCCCAACCAGUUGUUUUGGCUUGUGUAUUUUAAAGCAAAGCCAAGACCUCAUAUCAUUUUACCUGCAGAUACUGGGCCAUAAAGAUCUGUAAAACAUAACCCAAAUAUCCUAUCACUGCCAGCAAUAAUUUAUUAACAUCAUCUAAUAUUCAGGCCAUAUCCAAUUUUCCCUGAUUGUCUUGAAAACUAUCCAUUGCUUGCUGUUCUUUUUCAUAAUCUGUCUUUUUCCUUGAUAGAACUUACCACAAUUU
rnacentral:lncRNA from 1 species